rnacentral:rRNA from 1 species
GAGUUUGAUCAUGGCUCAGGACGAACGCUGGCGGCGUGGAUUAGGCAUGCAAGUCGAACGCGAAAGUAGAGCUUCGGUUUUACGAGUAGAGUGGCGAACGGGUGAGUAACGCGUAGGUAAUCUACCUUUAAGUGGGGGAUAGCCCCGGGAAACCGGGAUUAAUACCGCAUGUGAUCGAGUAAUUGAUCAAAGGAGGCCUCUAUUUAUAAGCUUCCGCUUAGAGAUGAGCCUGCGUCCUAUUAGCUAGUUGGUGUGGUAAUGGCAUACCAAGGCAGUGAUAGGUAGGCGGCUUUAACGAGUGGUCGCCCACACUGGGAUUGAGAUACGGCCCAGACUCCUACGGGAGGCAGCAGUCGAGAAUAGUCUACAAUGGGGGAAACCCUGAUAGUGCGACGCCGCGUGGACGAAGAAGCAUUUCGGUGUGUAAAGUCCUUUUCUAUGUGAGCAAUGUUAUAAUGUAUAAGAUAUAUUAUAGAGAGAUAUUAGCGUAGGAAUAAGCUCCGGCUAACUCCGUGCCAGCAGCCGCGGUA